rfam:Marinilactibacillus sp. 15R, complete genome.
CUAGCGAUACAGAUGUAUCGUAGUAACAACGAAUAGACAGAAGUCAGCCGAUUUAUUUGUGACGAGUAAUCGCAGGAACAGAGGUCAUAGUAGGGAAAACGUACCGAAGGAC